rnacentral:rRNA from 1 species
GACGAACGCUGGCGGCGUGCUUAACACAUGCAAGUCGAACGAAAAGAGGGAAAGAGCUUGCUCUUUCCGGAAUUGAGUGGCAAACGGGUGAGUAACACGUAAACAACCUGCCUUCAGGAUGGGGACAACAGACGGAAACGACUGCUAAUACCGAAUAAGUUCCAAGGGCCGCAUGGCCCAUGGAAGAAAAGGUGGCCUCUACCUGUAAGCUAUCGCCUGAAGAGGGGUUUGCGUCUGAUUAGCUGGUUGGAGGGGUAACGGCCCACCAAGGCGACGAUCAGUAGCCGGUCUGGGAGGAUGAACGGCCACCCUGGAAUUGAGACACGGUCCAGACUCCUACGGGAGGCAGCAGUGGGGAAUCUUCCGCAAUGGGCGAAAGCCUGACGGAGCAACGCCGCGUGAGUGAUGACGGCCUUCGGGUUGUAAAACUCUGUGAUCCGGGACGAAAAGGCAGAGUGCGAAGAACAAACUGCAUUGACGGUACCGGAAAAGCAAGCCACGGCUAACUACGUG